CCGCAGGCGAGGAGCGGGCGUUUCUGCGGGUUCACCGUCUCUCUGUCUCUCUGUGGCACACCGAGAGACGAGACGGAAAACAAAAAUCGCUUUCUCCGUUCCGGACACGUGGAUUGUGGUCGAAGAAGGCUGUCUAUUUCGCGGAAGGUGUAGCUGUUUCCAGAGACCACCAAGGGGGAGCCCUGCAGCGGAAAUGCGAGGGAAACGACGUCCAGGCCUCAACGCGCUCUUCCUCUCGCGGUGUGCGUGUAGACGGGGCCUCCCAGUUUUGCAGUGGAACGCGACUCCCGUUUCUGCCUAAAAUGCAGUCGAGAUCGCGGGGUGACGCCGCAGCGCGUUGAAAAACUCGUGCUCACGCAAAGGCAUCCUACAGGAACUACUCUGAAGUGGGGAGAGCAGAGUCGUUAACUAGGCAACACAAUGGACUCCUCGCAAACGAACUACAAGCACACACAUGGAAAACUGCGGCGUUUUCUUCAGGUCUUGAUGCCUACCCGAACGCGCUCAUCGAGCCUGACGCCUUCCCCGCUUCCUUUCCGAGCCCAGGUGUGCAUUCGUAGCGGUGUCACCUACACCGAAUGCACAGCCGAGGAUCGAGAAAACCCCAAUUCACCUAAACCGAAUGCACAGCCGAGGAUCGAGAAAACCCCAAUUCACCUAAACCGAAUGCACAGCCGAGGAUCGAGAAAACCCCAAUUCACCUAAACCGAAUGCACAGCCGAGGAUCGAGAAAACCCCAAUUCACCUAAACCGAAUGCACAGCCGAGGAUCGAGAAAACCCCAAUUCACCUAAACCGAAUGCACAGCCGAGGAUCGAGAAAACCUCAAUUCAAAAGCUUCCGGCGUUAACCUCUUUUUCCAGGUACCUUCGGUGUGACACGCAGGAACCUGAGGGAUGGAAAACGGUGUGGUUUGAUUCUGCGGUCGUCACGUCGGCGUUUCUCCCGUUUUUUCUACGAAGACAUGCCAGCAGUUAUGCUCAAAGGCAAGGGUUAGUGGCAAGCAACAUGAUCCGAGAAGCUUUCUCGUUCUCUGUUUCCUGCUGUGGGUAGCGUAGCCUGAUUUGUUCUCGCCGUACGUCCUUCCGGACGUUACCGUUAGUGGAAGUUUUGCCCUCAACGGGUCACGCUAG
rnacentral:lncRNA from 1 species